rnacentral:lncRNA from 1 species
GCUAUUUUCAUUUAGGGCUCCCACCCGCCGCUCAAUCAGUGGGGGCCGGACGCUAGGUAAAAAUAGGGGGACAUUUAGAUGUAGUGGAGUCGUGAGUGGGGUUAAAAAACAAACGGGAUUCAGACAUAACAGUGCCGCUUUAAAUUAUUUUCUCAUGGUUUUCCUGAUCUUGAAUAUUGCUCAUGUGAGCAAAAGUUGCAGUUCACUCUGGACUAGGUCCAAAAUUCACCAUAGACAUUUAAAGACAGAGAGGUCAGUAGAGGGGUGGGGCCGAGGUGGCAUGUUAUGUCAUAAUCAAUGAUAAGAUAUAGAUUAAGGAACAGUGCACACACAAAAAAAUACAAUUUUAAAUCUUAUAUAAGUCUACUUACAAUCACCUAUAUUAGCGAACAAAUAUGGAUGGAACAGCAAAGCUUGGGGAACAGGACCUUAACAGAGCAAAGAGGCAGGUAUAAAGAUUAGAAAUGGUUUAGUGGUCAGUGGGGGAUUGGGUUAUGGUAUAUUUAACUCAGCCAGCUUGUGUAAAUUGGGCAUUUUAAUUAGUAUUUGUCUUCAGGAUUGUGUAGAUUAUUUUUUUGUCUUGCAGAUGGAGCCUGCAAUGCCGGAUGGGAGAUUGGAGGCCUUGCUGGCUAGGACCAGGGCAGCAGAACAGGAGCGCGGCAUGGAAUGGCUGCAGGAGCAGCUCGGAUCUUUGGUGUCAUCCGCUACUACUACAUUGAAGGUGCAACAGCCCAUGAGGCAGAUCAGGCCGCCUCAGACUUUGAGCCCCAGCGAUGUUCCCAUAUGGAAACGGAGGAGGAGUCCAUCACGAAUGAUCACUGCAUCCAGCGGACCGGAGGGCCACAGGAGGUGAAGUUCGCUUGUGGGAGCUGUAUCGUGGCGGCUGGUGCACAACAAGGACUGGGUUGCUGAGUUGGAGGCCGGCCUGAGUGAUGGAAUUCUGCACCGCACGAGGGCUGGCAGGUACACUACAGGAAAGGUGACGGCAGGCUCCCGAGGCACAGGGGGCUCUGCCAGGAGAAGGAGCUAUGCGGAUGGCGGCCUGGGGGCACAGGGUGAAUUGCCCCCCAAUAGACAAAAAUAUAUUUAUUGUGAAAGGCGUGAGGAAAUGGCUGGGGGUCCGCCUGAAGUAUAUGACAGCAGUGGAGCAGUUAUGACUGGGCAGGGCUCAGGUACGAGGAGGGGCCUAUCGGCUUUCCUGCCUCAUGCAGGGGUUGUUGGCACAGAAGUCAGAGAUAACAGAGGCCACACCACAGAGAGCAUCAGCAGGUCCCCCACCAUGGCGCCCAGUAGCGGGGUUGUCAGGCGCGAGCACAAUAGCUGGUCCGGGAGCAAGCAGCACAGUGAGUGGCACCAAGGGCCAGUGCAAGGAUUUUUAGCUACACAGGCGAAGACGCAUUUUGACGCCCCCCUUUAAAAAAAAAAAAAAAGCAUCUUCACCUGUGUGUCUCGUAACCCCCCUUUUGCAUUUUUUACCCUCUUUAUUGUAUUUUAUCCCCCCUUUACUAUGUAUUACACCCCUUACAACCCCACUUACAACCCCACUUGUGUAUCUCAGUCCCUUUGUGUGUCUCUUUCUUCCCCCAGGGGCUGAGAGGGGUGGACAGGAGCUGUGGUGGGGGGCAAAUCAGGUUGCAUGGGCUGAGAGAGGGGAAAUGGGCGGUUGUGAGGGACGCAGGCCCUGAGAAGGGGUGACACAGGGGCUGAAAGGGGGACACAGGGGCUCUAGUAAGUGGGG